rnacentral:rRNA from 1 species
AUCAACGCUGGCGGCGUGCCUAACACAUGCAAGUCGAACGCGAAAGCCCCUUCGGGGGUAAGUAGAGUGGCGUCCGGGUGAGUAACACGUAGGUAAUCUACCUUCGGGUGGGGAAUAACUCGCCGAAAGGCGAGCUAAUACCGCAUAAUGCAGCGGCACCUAAUGGUGAUUAGUUGUUAAAGCGGGGGAUCGUAAGACCUCGCGCCUGAAGAGGAGCCUGCGGCAGAUUAGCUAGUUGGUGAGGUAAUGGCUCACCAAGGCUUCGAUCUGUAGCUGGUCUGAGAGGACGGCCAGCCACACUGGCACUGACACACGGGCCAGACUCCUACGGGAGGCAGCAGUGGGGAA